UACGGGAGGCAGCAGUGGGGAAUAUUGCACAAUGGGCGCAAGCCUGAUGCAGCCAUGCCGCGUGUAUGAAGAAGGCCUUCGGGUUGUAAAGUACUUUCAGCGGGGAGGAAGGCGAUGCGGUUAAUAACCGCGUCGAUUGACGUUACCCGCAGAAGAAGCACCGGCUAACUCCGUGCCAGCAGCCGCGGUAAUACGGAGGGUGCAAGCGUUAAUCGGAAUUACUGGGCGUAAAGCGCACGCAGGCGGUCUGUUAAGUCAGAUGUGAAAUCCCCGGGCUUAACCUGGGAACUGCAUUUUGAAACUGGCAGGCUUGAGUCUUGUAGAGGGGGUAGAAUUCCAGGUGUAGCGGUGAAAUGCGUAGAGAUCUGGAGGAAUACCGGUGGCGAAGGCGGCCCCUGGGACAAAGACUGACGCGUCAGGGUGCGAAAGCGUGGGGAGCAAACGAGGGAUUAGGAUACC
rnacentral:rRNA from 1 species